rnacentral:rRNA from 1 species
AAACGAUAUUGGAAGCUUGCUUCCGAUAGGCGUCGACCGGCGCACGGGUGAGUAACGCGUAUCCAACCUGCCCACCACUUGGGGAUAACCUUGCGAAAGUAAGACUAAUACCCAAUGAUAUCUCUAGAAGGCAUCUGAAAGAGAUUAAAGAUUUAUCGGUGAUGGAUGGGGAUGCGUCUGAUUAGCUUGUUGGCGGGGUAACGGCCCACCAAGGCAACGACUCAGUAGGGGUUCUGGAGAGGAAGGUCCCCCACAUUGGAACUGAGACUACGGUCCAAACCUCCG